GAUGAACGCUGGCGGCGUGCCUAAUACAUGCAAGUCGAGCGAACGGACGAGAAGCUUGCUUCUCUGAUGUUAGCGGCGGACGGGUGAGUAACACGUGGAUAUCCUACCUAUAAGACUGGGAUAACUUCGGGAAACCGGAGCUAAUACCGGAUAAUAUUUUGAACCGCAUGGUUCAAAAGUGAAAGACGGUCUUGCUGUCACUUAUAGAUGGAUCCGCGCUGCAUUAGCUAGUUGGUAAGGUAACGGCUUACCAAGGCAACGAUGCAUAGCCGACCUGAGAGGGUGAUCGGCCACACUGGAACUGAGACACGGUCCAGACUCCUACGGGAGGCAGCAGUAGGGAAUCUUCCGCAAUGGGCGAAAGCCUGACGGAGCAACGCCGCGUGAGUGAUGAAGGUCUUCGGAUCGUAAAACUCUGUUAUUAGGGAAGAACAUAUGUGUAAGUAACCGUGCACAUCUUGACGGUACCUAAUCAGAAAGCCACGGCUAACUACGUG
rnacentral:rRNA from 1 species